AGACUAAUAAUCAUUAUUGGAGAGGAGUUGUCUGCUAAUGUAACUACUUUGUAAUUCAUGCUCAUUGUUUAAAAUACAAACAAUUUGAAAAUGUUUAAAAUAGAAAGUAAAAGUAUUCCAGGCCCACAGGAAACUCUGAUGAGGAAGAAAGUGCUUCAGAAUCUGAACUUUGGAAGGGUCCACUACCAGAGACAGAUGAAAAAUCACAGGAAGAAGAAUUUGAUGAGUAUUUUCAGGAUUUGUUUCUAUGAGACGAGAGAGAGAAGCCUCCGCUCCUUAAUGUGAAACUUCAUGAAGUUUUAAACUUCAUACAAUUUGAAAUUCCAUAUAAGUUUUUAUCUGCAAGUUACAGCUUGUGUGGUUUGUCUUUGGAAAUAAAAGUCCAGGUUCUCUCAGAA
rnacentral:sRNA from 1 species